CAUUUUGAUGUCCACGCUGUAGGAGCAUUACUAAAUAAGUAAAACUAAAAUAUAUAUAUUUAUUGUAAAUGAUUAUAUAAAUUAUAUAUUCUGUGAAUUAUUAUUUUUCUUUUCUGCAUUUCACCUCUGCUAUAGUAUAUGCCUUAUACCUGGCAUUGUAUAAUAAAUAUUGUUGUCUCUGUGACAGUGCUUAUGUUCCUAGGUUUUUCCAUGCUGAUGGCUGUGCUCUAGAGUCAUAUCUCCUGUCGAAGAACAUUUUUAGACAUUAUGAACCAUGAAUAAGUUUAGCUCCAACCCCAGUUAAGCAGACCUGAGCAGCUGAUCAAGGAUCAGCAGAAACUCUGCAGAACAUUGGUCCUUCAGCCCAGGACUGGACACCAGUGUUAGUGUCUGUCUCAGAAGCUGAAGAAAAAAGGCCACACCUUAUAGGAAAUAAACGCCUCCUAAGUGUACGGAAAUACCUGGCUGAGGAGAUCAGUGACAUAAACCAGAUAAAACUGUCAGUGGUAAGUGUUUACAUAUCCAUAUCCGAAUGGAAUUGCUACAACCUCAUAUCUAAUAUGACUCGAAGUCUGAGACAGCUACAAGCCACAAAAACAGUUCAUAGUUCCUGCAUUUCUAUUAAUGCAUUAAUGAAUAACAAUAAUUAAAAUAAAAUGUAAUGUCAAGGUUUUGUGUUAAUUCCAGCUAUGUUGAGUAUUCUGUGAAUAAUUUAGAUUUUAGGUGCAUAUUCUUAAUUCUUUGCAAAACAACCUGAACUGUUUGCUAUUGAAAGGUUGAUAUGAAGUUUAAAUAAAUAAAAAAAUUAUAUUCUUGACAAAACCUGUGUACAGUUUGUAUUAAUAAUUUAAAUUAUUUACUUAUAUUAAUUAAUGGCC